GACAGAGGGUGCAAACGUUGUUCGGAAUUACUGGGCGUAAAGCGUGUGUAGGCGGCUACAUAAGUCGGAUGUGAAAGCCCCGGGCUCAACCCGGGAAGUGCACUCGAUACUGCGUAGCUUGAGUCUCGGAGAGGUUGGUGGAAUUCUCGGUGUAGAGGUGAAAUUCGUAGAUAUCAGGAAGAACACCCGUGGCUAAGGCGGCUCUCUAGUACGGUACUGACGCUGAGACGCGAAAGCGUGGGGAGCGAACAGG
rnacentral:rRNA from 1 species